UUGAUCCUGGCUCAGAACGAACGCUGGCGGCGCGUUUUAAGCAUGCAAGUCGAACGGUACGCAUGGUGCUUGCACUGUGCUGAGAGUGGCGAACUGGUGAGUAACACGUAGGUGAUCUACCUUGAGGCCUGGGAUAGCCUGUGGAAACACAGGGUAAGACCGGAUGAGCCCCUGUACUUGCGGGUAGAGGGGGAAAGGUGCUAUGGCACCGCCUUAAGAUGAGCCUGCGUCCCAUUAGUUAGUUGGUGGGGUAAAGGCCUACCAAGGCGACGAUGGGUAGCCGGCCUGAGAGGGUGAUCGGCCACACUGGGACUGAGACACGGCCCAGACUCCUACGGGAGGCAGCAGCUAAGAAUCUUCCGCAAUGGACGAAAGUCUGACGGAGCGACGCCGCGUGAACGAAGAAGGCCGGAAGGUUGUAAAGUUCUUUUGCGGGUGAAGAAUAAGGCGAGGAGGGAAUGCCUCGCUGAUGACGUUAGCCUGUGAAUAAGCCCCGGCUAAUUACGUGCCAGCAGCCGCGGUAACACGUAAGGGGCGAGCGUUGUUCGGAAUUAUUGGGCGUAAAGGGCGUGUAGGCUGUUUUGUAAGCCUGGUGUGAAAGUGCACGGCUUAACUGUGUAUGUGCGCUGGGAACUGCAAGACUAGAGUCCGGAAGGGGGAGGUAGAAUUCCUGGUGUAGGGGUGAAAUCUGUAGAUAUCAGGAAGAAUACCGGUGGCGAAGGCGACCUCCUGGUCCUGGACUGACGCUGAGGCGCGAAAGCGUGGGGAGCGAACAGGAUUAGAUACCCUGGUAGUCCACGCUGUAAAC
rnacentral:rRNA from 1 species